AAGUUAAAAAGUGUAACAAGGUCUCCGUUGGUGAACCAGCGGAGGGAUCAUUACCGAGUUUACAACUCCCAAACCCCUGUGAACAUACCACUUGUUGCCUCGGCGGAUCAGCCCGCUCCCGGUAAAACGGGACGGCCCGCCAGAGGACCCCUAAACUCUGUUUCUAUAUGUAACUUCUGAGUAAAACCAUAAAUAAAUCAAAACUUUCAACAACGGAUCUCUUGGUUCUGGCAUCGAUGAAGAACGCAGCAAAAUGCGAUAAGUAAUGUGAAUUGCAGAAUUCAGUGAAUCAUCGAAUCUUUGAACGCACAUUGCGCCCGCCAGUAUUCUGGCGGGCAUGCCUGUUCGAGCGUCAUUUCAACCCUCAAGCACAGCUUGGUGUUGGGACUCGCGUUAAUUCGCGUUCCCCAAAUUGAUUGGCGGUCACGUCGAGCUUCCAUAGCGUAGUAGUAAAACCCUCGUUACUGGUAAUCGUCGCGGCCACGCCGUUAAACCCCAACUUCUGAAUGUUGACCUCGGAUCAGGUAGGAAUACCCGCUGAACUUAAGCAUAUCAU
rnacentral:rRNA from 1 species